rfam:Arsenicibacter rosenii strain SM-1 scaffold3, whole genome shotgun sequence.
CGCCGGAGCGGUCCUAUCGCGCCGGCUUGCCGGUGAGGAAAGUCCGGGCAGCACAGAGCACCAUACUUCCUAACGGGAAGGAGGCCGGUUGGGAACGACCGGUCGACAGACAGUGCCACAGAAAUGAUACCGCCCCGCAAGGGGUAAGGGUGAAAUGGUGGAGUAAGAGCCCACCGCCCGGCAGGCGACUGACGGGGCAGGGUAAACCUUAUGGGCUGAAAGACCAAAUAAGCACCGGACGAGGGGCUGCUCGUCUCUGUUCACCGGUUUCCGGAUGAUGCCGGUGCGGGUAGGUCGAACGAGGUGGCCGGUGACGGUCAUCCCAGAUAAAUGAUAGGAGUUCCGGUGAAAACCGGAAAACAGAACCCGGCUUAUACGUGCCGGCGGUUC